UGGGGAAUAUUGGACAAUGGGCGCAAGCCUGAUCCAGCCAUGCCGCGUGAGUGAUGAAGGCCCAAGGGUUGUAAAGCUCUUUCACCGGUGAAGAUAAUGACGGUAACCGGAGAAGAAGCCCCGGCUAACUUCGUGCCAGCAGCCGCGGUAAUACGAAGGGGGCUAGCGUUGUUCGGAUUUACUGGGCGUAAAGCGCACGUAGGCGGACUUUUAAGUCAGGGGUGAAAUCCCGGGGCUCAACCCCGGAACUGCCUUUGAUACUGGAAGUCUUGAGUAUGGUAGAGGUGAGUGGAAUUCCGAGUGUAGAGGUGAAAUUCGUAGAUAUUCGGAGGAACACCAGUGGCGAAGGCGGCUCACUGGACCAUUACUGACGCUGAGGUGCGAAAGCGUGGGGAGCAAACAGG
rnacentral:rRNA from 1 species